AACGAACGCUGGCGGCAUGCCUAACACAUGCAAGUCGAACGAGGCCUUCGGGUCUAGUGGCGCACGGGUGCGUAACGCGUGGGAACCUGCCCUUAGGUUCGGAAUAACUCCCCGAAAGGGGUGCUAAUACCGGAUAAUGUCUUCGGACCAAAGGUUUAUCGCCUUUGGAUGGGCCCGCGUUGGAUUAGCUAGUUGGUAGGGUAAAAGCCUACCAAGGGGACGAUCCAUAGCUGGUCUGUGAGGAUGAUCAGCCACACUGGGACUAGGACACGGCCCAGACUCCUACGGGAGGCGGCAGUGGGGAAUAUUGGACAAUGGGCGAAAGCCUGAUCCAGCAAUGCCGCGUGAGUGAUGAAGGCCUUAGGGUUGUAAAGCUCUUUUACCCGGGAUGAUAAUGACAGUACCGGGAGAAUAAGCUCCGGCUAACUCCGUG
rnacentral:rRNA from 1 species